rnacentral:rRNA from 1 species
AUUCCAGCUCCAAUAGCGUAUAUUAAAGUUGUUGCAGUUAAAAAGCUCGUAGUUGGAUUUCUGAUAGGGAGCCGAUCACCACUGUUGUGAGUGUUAGGUACCUGUCAUCCUUCUGUUAACCCCUGCGGCAUUCAUUUGUCGUUGGGCGGACCAGAUACUUUACCUUGAGAAAAUUAGAGUGUUUCAGGCAGGCCUAGCCGGAAUACAUUAGCAUGGAAUAAUGGAAUAGAACUAUAGUCUCGUCGUUGGUUACGUGGACUGCAGUAAUGAUUAAUAGGGAUAGUUGGGGGCAUUAGUAUUUAUUAGCUAGAGGUGGAAUUCUCUAAUUUGAUAAAGACUAACUUAUGCGAAAGCGUUUGCCAAGGAUGUUUUCAUUG